AGCAGCCGCGGUAAUUCCAGCUCCAAUAGCGUAUAUUAAAGUUGUUGCAGUUAAAAAGCUCGUAGUUGAAUUUCGGGGUCAGUAGAUUGGUCGUGCCACUGGUAUGUACUGGUCUUACUGGCUCCUCCUUCCUGAUGAACCGUAAUGCCAUUAAUUUGGUGUUGCGGGGAGACUGGACUGUUACUUUGAAAAAUUAGAGUGUUUAAAGCAGGCUAACGCUUGAAUACAUUAGCAUGGAAUAAUGAAAUAGGACGUUCGAUCUUAUUUUGUUGGUUUCUAAGAUUGACGUAAUGAUUAAUAGGGAUAGUUGGGGGCAUUAGUAUUCAAUUGUCAGAGGUGAAAUUCUUGGAUUUAUUGAAGACUAACUACUGCGAAAGCAUUUGCCAAGGAUGUUUU
rnacentral:sRNA from 1 species